UCUGUGACGUUACUCGCAGAAGAAGCACCGGCUAACUUCGUGCCAGCAGCCGCGGUAAUACGAGGGGUGCAAGCGUUAAUCGGAAUUACUGGGCGUAAAGCGUGCGUAGGUGGUUUGUUAAGCAAGAUGUGAAAGCCCCGGGCUCAACCUGGGAACUGCAUUUUGAACUGGCAGGCUAGAGUAUUGUAGAGGGUAGUGGAAUUUCCAGUGUAGCGGUGAAAUGCGUAGAGAUUGGAAGGAACAUCAGUGGCGAAGGCGGCUACCUGGACAAAUACUGACACUGAGGCACGAAAGCGUGGGGAGCAAACAGGAUUAGAUACCCUGGUAGUCCACGCCGUAAACGAUGUCAACUAGCCGUCUGUGGUCUUGAACCGUGGGUGGCGUAGCUAACGCGCUA
rnacentral:rRNA from 1 species